rnacentral:rRNA from 1 species
GAUGAACGCUGGCGGCGUGCCUAAUACAUGCAAGUCGAGCGAACAGACGAGGAGCUUGCUCCUCUGACGUUAGCGGCGGACGGGUGAGUAACACGUGGAUAACCUACCUAUAAGACUGGGAUAACUUCGGGAAACCGGGGCUAAUACCGGAUAAUAUAUUGAACCGCAUGGUUCAAUAGUGAAAGACGGUUUUGCUGUCACUUAUAGAUGGAUCCGCGCCGCAUUAGCUAGUUGGUAAGGUAACGGCUUACCAAGGCAACGAUGCGUAGCCGACCUGAGAGGGUGAUCGGCCACACUGGAACUGAGACACGGUCCAGACUCCUACGGGAGGCAGCAGUAGGGAAUCUUCCGCAAAGGGCGAAAGCUUGACGGAGCAACGCCGCGUGAGUGAUGAAGGUCUUCGGAUCGUAAAACUCUGUUAUUAGGGAAGAACAAAUGUGUAAGUAACUAUGCACGUCUUGACGGUACCUAAUCAGAAAGCCACGGCUAACUACGUG